CAAUAGCGUAUAUUAAAGUUGUUGCGGUUAAAAAGCUCGUAGUUGGAUUUCUGCCGAGGACGACCGGUCCGCCCUCUGGGUGAGUAUCUGGCUCGGCCUGGGCAUCUUCUUGGAGAACGUAUCUGCACUUGACUGUGUGGUGCGGUAUCCAGGACUUUUACUUUGAGGAAAUUAGAGUGUUUCAAGCAGGCAUACGCCUUGAAUACAUUAGCAUGGAAUAAUAAGAUAGGACCUCGGUUCUAUUUUGUUGGUUUCUAGAGCUGAGGUAAUGAUUAGAGUAGGAUAGGUGGGGUGCUAGUAAUUGGCCGGCCAGAGGUAGAAAUUCUUGGUAUUACGGUCGAAGACUAACUUAUAGCGAAAGUCACUUACG
rnacentral:rRNA from 1 species